AGGAUGAACGCUAGCGACAGGCUUAACACAUGCAAGUCGAGGGGCAGCGGGGGUAGCAAUACCCGCCGGCGACCGGCGCACGGGUGAGUAACGCGUAUGCAACUUACCUAUCAGAGGGGGAUAACCCGGCGAAAGUCGGACUAAUACCGCAUGAAGCAGGGGCCCCGCAUGGGGAUAUUUGCUAAAGAUUCAUCGCUGAUAGAUAGGCAUGCGUUCCAUUAGGCAGUUGGCGGGGUAACGGCCCACCAAACCGACGAUGGAUAGGGGUUCUGAGAGGGAGGUCCCCCACAUUGGUACUGAGACACGGACCAAACUCCUACGGGAGGCAGCAGUGAGGAAUAUUGGUCAAUGGCCGAGAGGCUGAACCAGCCAAGUCGCGUGAGGGAUGAAGGUUCUAUGGAUCGUAAACCUCUUUUAUAAGGGAAUAAAGUGCGGGACGUGUCCCGUUUUGUAUGUACCUUAUGAAUAAGGAUCGGCUAACUCCGUGCCAGCAGCCGCGGUAAUACGGAGGAUCCGAGCGUUAUCCGGAUUUAUUGGGUUUAAAGGGUGCGUAGGCGGCCUUUUAAGUCAGCGGUGAAAGUCUGUGGCUCAACCAUAGAAUUGCCGUUGAAACUGGGGGGCUUGAGUAUGUUUGAGGCAGGCGGAAUGCGUGGUGUAGCGGUGAAAUGCAUAGAUAUCACGCAGAACCCCGAUUGCGAAGGCAGCCUGCCAAGCCAUGACUGACGCUGAUGCACGAAAGCGUGGGGAUCAAACAGGAUUAGAUACCCUGGUAGUCCACGCAGUAAACGAUGAUCACUAGCUGUUUGCGAUACACUGUAAGCGGCACAGCGAAAGCGUUAAGUGAUCCACCUGGGGAGUACGCCGGCAACGGUGAAACUCAAAGGAAUUGACGGGGGCCCGCACAAGCGGAGGAACAUGUGGUUUAAUUCGAUGAUACGCGAGGAACCUUACCCGGGUUUGAACGCAUUCGGACCGAGGUGGAAACACCUUUUCUAGCAAUAGCCGUUUGCGAGGUGCUGCAUGGUUGUCGUCAGCUCGUGCCGUGAGGUGUCGGCUUAAGUGCCAUAACGAGCGCAACCCUUGCCACUAGUUACUAACAGGUAAAGCUGAGGACUCUGGUGGGACUGCCAGCGUAAGCUGCGAGGAAGGCGGGGAUGACGUCAAAUCAGCACGGCCCUUACAUCCGGGGCGACACACGUGUUACAAUGGCGUGGACAAAGGGAGGCCACCUGGCGACAGGGAGCGAAUCCCCAAACCACGUCUCAGUUCGGAUCGGAGUCUGCAACCCGACUCCGUGAAGCUGGAUUCGCUAGUAAUCGCGCAUCAGCCAUGGCGCGGUGAAUACGUUCCCGGGCCUUGUACACACCGCCCGUCAAGCCAUGGGAGCCGGGGGUACAUGAAGUCCGUAACCGCGAGGAUCGGCCUAGGGU
rnacentral:rRNA from 1 species